GUUUCUGUUAGGGAAGAAGACAAUGUAUUUGCUUAGACAUUUUCUAACAGUGCAACAUUGUAAUAUUGAAGAGUAGGGGAGGGGCCGGUUUUUAGUCGUUUAGGGGCAUUUUUUUCGUCUGACUACAGUAUAUUUAGAAUAUUUUGUAGUGUUAUCUCCUCCGACAUGGUGGUAUAAAUAAUCAUAUUCUAACCUAUCGAACGUCCCGAAAUCCUAAAUAUAUCUCAAGAAAAAUCCAAUUUAAUAAGUGUCGUUGCAUGCGCGAUAAUUGUCCGAAGUUCCACGACUAUUAUUUAAAUAUGUCAAAAUAAAG
rnacentral:lncRNA from 1 species